CCUACGGGAGGCAGCAGUGAGGAAUAUUGGUCAAUGGACGCGAGUCUGAACCAGCCAAGUCGCGUGCAGGAAGACUGCCCUAUGAGUUGUAAACUGCUUUUGUACGAGGGUAAACGCAGAUACGCGUAUCUUUUUGAAAGUACUUUAUGAAUAAGGAUCGGCUAACUCCGUGCCAGCAGCCGCGGUAAUACGGAGGAUUCAAGCGUUAUCCGGAUUUAUUGGGUUUAAAGGGAGCGUAGACGGUCGGUUAAGUUAGAGGUGAAAUCCCGCGGCUCAACUUCGGAAUUGCCUUUGAUACUGGUCGGCUAGAGUGUAGUUGAGGUAGGCGGAAUGUAUGGUGUAGCGGUGAAAUGCUUAGAGAUCAUGCAGAACACCGAUUGCGAAGGCAGCUUACCAAGCU
rnacentral:rRNA from 1 species